AUUGAACGCUGGCGGCAGGCCUAACACAUGCAAGUCGAGCGGAUGAAGUGAGUUUGCUCCUGAAUUCAGCGGCGGACGGGCGAGUAAUUCCUAGGAAUCUGCCUUGUCGUGGGGGAUAGCGUCCGGAAACGGGCGCUAAUACCGCAUACGUCCUGAGGGAGAAAGUGGGGGAUCUUCGGACCUCACGCUAUCAGCAUAACCUAGGUCGGAUUAGCUGGUUGAUGGGGUAAAGGCCUACCAAGGCGACGAUCCGUAACGGGUCUGAGAGGAUGAUGAGUAACACUGGAAUGGAGCAACGGCCAAGCCUCCUCCGGGAGGAAGAAGAGGGGAAUAUUGGACAAUGGGCGAAAGCCUGACCCGGCCAUGCGGCGUGUGUGAAGAAGGUCUUCGGAUUGUAAAGCACUUUAAGUUGGGAGGACGGGCAGUAAGUUAAUACCCUGCUGUUUUGACGUUACCAACAGAAUAAGCGACGGCUAACUUCGUG
rnacentral:rRNA from 1 species